GGUUGAUCCUGCCAGUAGUCAUAUGCUUGUCCCAAAGAUUCAGCCAUGCAUGUCCAAGUAUAAGCCCAAGAACGGUGAAACUGCGAAAGGCUCAUUAAAUCAGUUAGAAUUUACUUGAUGGAUGACAAUUACAUGGAUAACCGUGGUAAUUCUAUGGCUAAUACAUGCAAGAAGAGGCGACCGGGAACGGAAGCCGAGUAUUUAUUAGAUAAAACCAAGGCCUUUAGGGGCAAAGGGGGAAACAAAAUAACUGGACGGAUCGCAGGGCAGUUAGCCGGCGACGCAUCAAUCAA
rnacentral:rRNA from 1 species